rnacentral:rRNA from 1 species
CCUACGGGAGGCAGCAGUGAGGAAUAUUGGUCAAUGGACGCGAGUCUGAACCAGCCAAGUAGCGUGAAGGAUGACUGCCCUAUGGGUUGUAAACUUCUUUUAUACGGGAAUAAAGUGAUCCACGUGUGGCUUUUUGUAUGUACCGUAUGAAUAAGGAUCGGCUAACUCCGUGCCAGCAGCCGCGGUAAUACGGAGGGUCCGAGCGUUAUCCGGAUUUAUUGGGUUUAAAGGGAGCGUAGGUGGGUUGUUAAGUCAGUUGUGAAAGUUUGCGGCUCAACCGUAAAAUUGCAGUUGAAACUGGCAGUCUUGAGUACAGUAGAGGUGGGCGGAAUUCGUGGUGUAGCGGUGAAAUGCUUAGAUAUCACGAAGAACUCCGAUUGCGAAGGCAGCUUACUGUACUGCAACUGACACUGAGGCUCGAAAGUGUGGGUAUCAAACAGGAUUAGAUACCCUAGUAGUC